AGUGAACGCUGGCGGUAGGCCUAACACAUGCAAGUCGAACGGCAGCACAGUAAGAGCUUGCUCUUACGGGUGGCGAGUGGCGGACGGGUGAGGAAUACAUCGGAAUCUACUUUUUCGUGGGGGAUAACGUAGGGAAACUUACGCUAAUACCGCAUACGACCUACGGGUGAAAGCAGGGGAUCUUCGGACCUUGCGCGAUUGAAUGAGCCGAUGUCGGAUUAGCUAGUUGGCGGGGUAAAGGCCCACCAAGGCGACGAUCCGUAGCUGUCUGAGAGGAUGAUCAGCCACACUGGAACUGAGACACGGUCCAGACUCCUACGGGAGGCAGCAGUGGGGAAUAUUGGACAAAGGGCGCAAGCCUGAUCCAGCCAUACCGCGUGGGUGAAGAAGGCCUUCGGGUUGUAAAGCCCUUUUGUUGGGAAAGAAAAGCAGCAGGUUAAUACCCCGCUGUUCUGACGGUACCCAAAGAAUAAGCACCGGCUAACUUCGUG
rnacentral:rRNA from 1 species